CAGCAAUUGAAUAAAAAUAUGUCUUUUAGAUGUAUUACAAGUUCCUCAGUUGUUCGCGGGUCAUUUGGAAGCAUCGUUUGUUGAGCGUGUGGACGUCUUUACGUUACGCGCUCUGUUGAUGUGAUGGACAGUAAAUCUGAAUUCUGCCCAGCAACAUAUUCGCGCCACAGUCGACAAAGGAAGAAAAAAAAUGUCCAGUCUACGAAGGGUUAGGAGGGUUCGCUUCGUUGCUGUUAAACUCCACGAUCUCUCAAUUGCCAUGAUGACCAAGAGGACAUGUGAGACAUGCGGAAAGCUGUCAUAUUCCCAGUCAAUACUUUGCCAAAUCAUCUGUGGUAAAUUUACAAAGAGUCCGAAGCCGAGUAGGCCAUCAAGGACCCCCCCCCAAUCCUUCCAACUGGCAACAGACCGGAGAAGAGGCUGGAGCACAGACACCCUUUUUUAGCUACUGAAAUAAUUGACAUUAUGAUAGACAGUUGACAAUAUAGUGUGAGAAUUAGUUUUUGUUCUCCAAAAUGUACACACUGCUGUUGUGAAGCAGGGAUACACAGCUCACGAGUGUGUAGUCAAAAGAGAGAAAUAUUGUAUAUUUCAGUGACUCCUACAGAUUAAGAAAAAUACUGAAUUUUCUUAAAUAAAUAAAUGUUAUACUUG